UAAUUGGAUGCUUAGAAGAGUACCAUCAGC
rnacentral:piRNA from 1 species